AACCAUUCUCACCUGCGGCUAGACCUGCGGAAGGAUCAUUACUGAGUGCGGGCCCGCUCCGGGCCCAACCUCCCACCCGUGUCUCUUGCGUACUUUGUUGCUUUGGCGGGCCCACCGGGUCACUCCGGUCGCCGGGGGGCGCUAUGCUCCCGGGCCCGUGCCCGCCAGAGCACCCCUGUGAACCCUGAUGAAGAGAGGCUGUCUGAGUCCCACGAUAAUCGUUAAAACUUUUAACAACGG
rnacentral:misc_RNA from 1 species